AGUGAACGCUGGCGGCGUGCUUAACACAUGCAAGUCGAACGAGAACGGAUUAUAGCUUGCUAUAAUUGUCAGCUAAGUGGCGCACGGGUGAGUAAUGUAUAGGUAAUAUGCCUCUUACUAAGGGAUAACAAAUGGAAACGUUUGCUAAUACCCUAUACUCCUUAUUAACAGAAGUUAAUAAGGGAAAGAUUUAUUGGUAAGAGAUUAGCCUGUAUUGUGUCAGUUAGUUGGUGGGGUAAUGGCUUACCAAGACUAUGACACAUAACUGGUUUGAGAGGAUGAUCAGUCACACUGGAACUGAGACACGGUCCAGACUCCUACGGGAGGCAGCAGUGGGGAAUAUUGCACAAUGGACGAAAGUCUGAUGCAGCAACGCCGCGUGGAGGAUGACACAUUUCGGUGCGUAAACUCCUUUUAUAUGAGAAGAUAAUGACGGUAUUAUAUGAAUAAGCACCGGCUAACUCCGUGCCAGCCGCCGCAGUAA
rnacentral:rRNA from 1 species